rnacentral:rRNA from 1 species
CCUACGGGGGGCAGCAGUGGGGAAUAUUGCACAAUGGGGGAAACCCUGAUGCAGCAACGCCGCGUGAGCGAUGAAGGCCUUCGGGUCGUAAAGCUCUGUCCUAAGGGAAGAAUACUGACGGUACCUUAGGAGGAAGCCCCGGCUAACUACGUGCCAGCAGCCGCGGUAAUACGUAGGGGGCUAGCGUUAUCCGGAAUUACUGGGCAUAAAGGGUGCGUAGGCGGCCCUUCAAGUCAGAGGUGAAAGGCUACGGCUCAACCGUAGUAAGCCGUUGAACGUGUAGGGCUUGAGUGCAGGAGAGUAGCAGAGAAUUUCCUGAGUAGCGGUGAAAGGCAUAGAUAUUGCGAGAAACACCAAAAACGAAGGCGGCUCCCUUGACGGUAACGUACGGACAAGCACCAAAGCGUGGUCAGCGACCAGUAUUGGAAACCCUAGUAUUC